CCGCCAUGGCAGCGCCAGGACAGGCCGCUCGGCUCACGGCAUUGCCGUGGCAACGCGGCGGCGGAGCCUGGCCAACCCGCUAGCGCGACGCAGCGGGCCUUAGUCUCCGCCCCCUCUCGUCCCUCCGGCCAAUCGGCGCCGCCGCCCCCGUGCGGCCCUCCCCUCCCUCCCUCUCGCGCGCGGGGGCCGCGUCACUGCUCGACGCCCCGCUUCAAGAAGAGUCAGAAGUGCUUAUGUGAACAUUCAUGGGGAUUUCUCUGAAACUUGUGCAGUUCUUCAGAAAGUUUUUUUGGAAGGUUGAAGGUCCACGAGGAUUGAGAGGUAUGCCUCAUCUACUAAUGUGACAGUAUGAGAUAAAUUUGAAUCAACUCAUUAAGGGUGUGAUUUCCUCCUCCACAGAAUGUAUUCAUCAGUGCAUGAGAAUUUUUUUCUUUAGGGAAUAAUUUUACAUUGGCCUUGUUCAAGGUAAGGAAAUGAACUAGACAAAACUGAGCAAGUCUCUUCCAUUUCUAACCCUGGAGAUGUCUGCAGCCUGAUAACAGUAGGUUAUUCUGCUAUUUCCUUCCUUCCUAGAACAACAAAAGCCUGCAGCUGAAAAGUCAGUGUCAUUCCAAGUUUGAAGUGCAGAAGGGGACUAUAUAGCUGUGUGGCUCUGAUUAUUUUGUCCUGUGCACGUGCCAUUACUGGCUUCCAUACAGAAGAUAAGCAGCUUCAAAAGUAAAAAACAACCUGUGGAGAUGUUUGGCUUUCGUUGUAACAAAAUUCAAGCAAUGCACAGUGUGAAUUGUAUGCACCUUUGGACUUAAGCACAUGAAACAGGAAUAUUCAAAAAUAAUGCUUAGUAGCUGAAUUUGAUACCUGACUGCAGUACAGAGAUAACCACACAAAACAGGAGGACUGUUCCCUAUCACAAACUUAUCACUGAAAAAAUACAGCUGCUGCAGCUGCUUCCAUUCUUGGUCCCUUCCAUGCAUGACAGCUGGCUCCUGAAGUAGGCAACAUGCAAUUCUGAUCACCCUUAGCAGCCAAGAGGUCAAGACCAGAUAACUAAUAUGCGCAACUUACUAUAAGUUGUCUGAAGAGCAGAAAUAGUUCUAAAAACAGCAGGAGGGCAAGGUCUUAAUGGGCAACAAAUAAAGGAGACUUCUUUAUCAUUUA